UCCUCUGUAGUUCAGGCGGUAGAACGGCGGACUGUUAAUCCGUAUGUCACUGGUUCGAGUCCAGUCAGAGGAGCCA
rnacentral:tRNA from 3 species